UACGGGGGGGGCAAGCGUUGUUCGGAAUUACUGGGCGUAAAGGGCUCGUAGGCGGCCAACUAAGUCAGACGUGAAAUCCCUCGGCUUAACCGGGGAACUGCGUCUGAUACUGGAUGGCUUGAGGUUGGGAGAGGGAUGCGGAAUUCCAGGUGUAGCGGUGAAAUGCGCAGAUAUCAGGAGGAACACCAAUUGCGAAGGCAGCUCGCUGGGACGUUACUGACGCUGAGACGCGAAAGCGUGGGGAGCAAACAGG
rnacentral:rRNA from 1 species